UACGUAGGGUGCGAGCGUUAAUCGGAAUUACUGGGCGUAAAGUGUGCGCAGGCGGCUUGGCAAGUCGAGUGUGAAAUCCCCGGGCUUAACUUGGGAAUUGCGCUCGAAACUACCUGGCUAGAGUGUGGCAGAGGAAGGUGGAAUUCCACGUGUAGCGGUGAAAUGCGUAGAGAUGUGGAGGAACACCGCUGGCGAAGGCAGCCUUCUGGGCCAACACUGACGCUCAUGCACGAAAGCGUGGGGAGCAAACAGG
rnacentral:rRNA from 1 species